AGGACGAACGCUGGCGGCGUGCUUAACACAUGCAAGUCGAGCGGAAAGGCCCUUUCGGGGGUACUCGAGCGGCGAACGGGUGAGUAACACGUGAGUAAUCUGCCCUUCACUUGGGGAUAACCUCCGGAAACGGUGGCUAAUACCCGAUACGACCAUGGAUCGCAUGAUCUUGUGGUGGAAAGUUUUUCGGUGGGGGAUGUGCUCGCGGCCUAUCAGCUUGUUGGUGGGGUAAUGGCCUACCAAGGCUUCGACGGGUAGCCGGCCUGAGAGGGUGACCGGCCACACUGGGACUGAGACACGGCCAAGACUCCUACGGGAGGCAGCAGUGGGGAAUAUUGGACAAUGGGCGGAAGCCUGAUCCAGCAACGCCGCGUGAGGGAUGACGGCCUUCGGGUUGUAAACCUCUUUCAGCAGGGAAGAAGCGUGAGUGACGGUACCUGCAGAAGAAGCACCGGCUAACUACGUGCCAGCAGCCGC
rnacentral:rRNA from 1 species